rnacentral:misc_RNA from 1 species
AAGUCGUAACAAGGUAACCGUAGGUGAACCUGCGGUUGGAUCAUUAACAAAAUGAUAAAAGCUCCUUGGUUAAAACCAAGGGCUUUUAUAAACACCUGUGAACUGUAAUUGUAUCUGGUGGGUUAAAAUUGGAAAUUCCAAGGCCUUUUGGCCACCCACUGUUAAAUUUUAACCUUUAUGAUCUAGAACUUUUGUUUGAAUUUUAUUAAUUUAAAAAACAACUUUUGACAACGGAUCUCUAGGCUCUC